rnacentral:lncRNA from 1 species
AGAUAUUUAAGAAAACCUUAUUGGUCUUCAAAAUCCUAAAUCCCGAGACCUUAGCUCAUAAAAUCUUCAUAUGUAUCGAUCUAGCCAUUCGAUUGACCUCAAACCUCUUAUACACAUUCACAACAAGCAUACCAAUAAGUCUCUAUAUUUUUAUCCAUAAAAAUGCUACAAAAUCACGAAAUCCAAAAAUUUGUAAACUGAUUUUAUU